AGCUUUGCGCAGUGGCAGUAUCGUAGCCUAUGAGGUUUAUCCGAGGCGUGAUUAUUGCUAGUUGAAAACUUUACCCAAUACCCCGCCUAGACGACUUGAAAUAUAGUCGGCGACGGCAAUUUUUGACGGUCUCUAUGGAGA
rnacentral:snRNA from 1 species